rnacentral:lncRNA from 1 species
GGAGGGUUGGGUCUUCCUGGAUGCCCUGAGGGAGAUUCCUUCACCCUGUCUCUGGUGUUGAGGCUUUGGGUCUUUACUUUCCUUGGCCUGGAGCUGGUCACUCCCACCCUGCCUCAUAUCCAGGGGCUUUUCUUUCUCCCUUCAGUUUUCCCCAUGCAGAGCAGGGCUGCCUCUUGCUCACAUGUUUGCUUUGCCAGGCCUCUGGGCCCUAUUUCUCUGUCCACAGCCCUCCUCCUUCCUCUUUCAGAGGCUGAGAACCCCAAAGCUUCCUCCAGAGACUGGAAAAAGUGUGGCCAGAUCCUGGCCACAAGGACAACAGCACUGGACAUGUCACACAAUACUAGUAACUGGGUAUGGUAGCUCACAUCAGCAAUCUCAACGCGUGGGAGACAGAGACAGGAAGAUUACAGCAAGUUCUAUGCCAGCCUGGGCUAUACGGAGCUGGUGAAAUGGCAGCGUGGCUGCCUACAUAUACCUGAGUCCCAAAUACCACAAAACAAUGAAUGUGUGGCACAGGCCUGUAGUCUUGGCAUGAGGGAGGAGGAAGCAGGAAGAUCAGAAGUUCAAGGCCAUCCUCAAUUACACAGUGAGUUUGAGGUCAGUCUAGAGUACACGAAAACCUUCCUCAGAAAUUAAACAGGGCAGGUAUGCUGGUACACGCCUUUAACUUCAGCAUCCCAAAGGCAGAGGCAAAGAUGGGAGGAUCUCUGUCAAUUUAAAACUAUCGCCUGCCCUACAUCGUGAAACCCUAUUUCCAAAAAAAAAAAAAAGAAAAAAAAAAAAGAAAAAGAAACAAAAAAGAAAAAGAAAGAGUUAAUAAUUAACUAAAUACAAAACAAAACCAAAAGUCAUGACUCUGGAUUGGUAGGGAUAUAAAGAGAGACAGAGUGAUCAGAAUAUAUACACAUAUAAAACUGUCAAAGAACAAAACUAAUCAAUAUAAAUUUAAGUGAGUAAGUAGCAAUUCAUUAAAUAAAUGCAGUGUUAACCCUAUCCCAGAGUCAUCCAGGUUUUCAAGGUUGGGGUUUGAGGUCAGACAGUGCACCUCUUGGCUGGGCCUCCAGCCCAAGGGACAGCUAUGACCAGAUGAAAGAGACAAAACCAAAGCCUGGCUGUUCCUCACCGGCUGUGUGACUUGGAACAAGUUGCUCUUCGUCUCUGGAUCCCAUUGUCCUCCACGUGUUCACAGAAGACAGUUUCUCUACACCCUGUGACUCUGCCAGGUGACACAUCUGCACAAGUUCUUUCAGUGUCUUCCAUGUCUGGGGUACAAUGAGAACACCAAAGAGGGGUUUUACCCUGGUGAAGGAAGUGGCCUGGGCCUUCCCAGCCAGUGAGGACCUUAGAAGGUCGUUCUGAUCACCAGCCCCUGGAAGCACUCCAGGCCUCUAGACUUCUAUCCAGAAAGAAAUGCAAAGUCACCAGGCUGGUGUCUCCUUUCACCCCGGAGGCAGCCAGGCAAGAG